rnacentral:lncRNA from 11 species
GGAAGUGUUGGGAAAUCAUCCUGGACUACUCAAGUCCAAAUGUAGUUAGAUAGAUGAUAGAGUUAGAUUGAGGGAAUCCUUUCCCUGUUUCCAAAGCAUGCCUAGACAGGCUUUACUGUGUUUCACUCUAUCCUGUUUACGUCAUGUCCCUUACUUUGAAGUUGGUAGAAAUGUGAAUCUUUAGGGACACUAACUCCCAAUUGGUCAGAGUGUCUUUUAUGGCCCCAAUAAACUGGACCAUGCGGUUGGGACCAUUUUGGUUCUCUCUCUUCUCCCUUUGUUCUUCAAACUAACAAGCAGCAUCCUGCCAUCUCUCCUGGCAAGAUGUAACUAUGUAGAUGUUUGUUAUUUUUCCUUACUUAUUUUUCCUUAGAAUCCAGUCUAUAGUAAUCUAGACAGCUCCCAAGACUUUCUAUCUACAAUGGAGUUCCUUUUACCUGAAUAAAUACUUUUUGAACUUUUAUUGAGACUCUGCAGUCCAUUGCAAUCCUAAAAAGGCUUCUCUUGCUCGCCAGUGUAAGUAACUGUUGCAUUUGAAAGCUUUGUUUUUGCUACUCUGCUGAUUUUGGUGGAAUCUCCCCCAGAGAGGGUUAAAUUGAGUCUAACCGCUCAGAGAUUACCACAACAAAGGGUUUACGGGCCCAGACACUGCGAGCUGAGCAAAAGGGAAAUAGCCUGUUUUUUAAAAGGAUUGAAUUGAAAUAAGGAGCAGAGGAAAGUUCUCAAAAGAUUUGAGACUUAAUUUCAAGAUUUUUAAUUUUUUUUUGAUUUUUCUGGAUUAUUCCAAAUAUUUUGAUUUUUGGAGAUUUUUAAUCUUUUUUGGAAAUUGAAAGGAUGGAGCAAAACAAAGAAACCUCUUGGAGCCUACCCAAGCUGCAGGAUAAUGGAGAGAACUACCUGAACUGGAAAAGAAGACUGGAAACCAUGCUCAAACCAGCAGAACUAAAAGUGCUGCAAGAAGGCGGGCCACCAGAAGGAGCCGGGGAGGAGGCUAUCCAGACGUGGCGGGAAGAUGAUCGUUUGGUUGAAAGAGAAGAAGAUGGGAGCUUUCUCCUGAAUCAGAGACAAAAGAUUAUUGACUUGCUAAAACAUCUUGGACUCUUAGAAGCAAAUACAGUGACUACACCCAUGGAAGUGAACUAUUGGAAAAACACUUCAGAAAGUGAACCAUUGAGUGACAACACCUUGUAUCGAGAGGCAAUUGGGAAAAUGUUGUACAUCUCUCGAAUCACAAGACCAGAUAUUUCAGCAGCGGUUGGGAUACUAUGCAGGAAGACUAGUAAACCAACCAAAUAUGACUUAAUUGCAAUCAAAAGAGUUGCUAGAUACCUAAAAGGCACACUGAACUUCAAGUUGAGACUACAAGCCACCAGCAACCCUACACUGACAGGGUAUGUGGAUGCUGACUGGGCCAAUGAUAUUACAGAUCGCAAGUCUACCAGCGGCUAUCUAUUCUUCUACGGAGAUGCACUGAUAGACUGGACAACACAGAAACAAAAAGUAGUAGCUUCAUCUUCAACAGAAGCAGAAUAUGUUUCCGCAUCAGAAGCGUGCAAACAAUUGAAAUGGCUACAUAUGAUGUUAUUUGAUUUUGGAAUCGAAGAACCAACACCAAUACAAGUUUUUGAGGACAAUCAAGGUUGUCUGAAGUAUACUCAAACAGAGAAGAUCAGUGCAUUGCUCAAGCACAUUGACACAAGAUACCACAUCGUGAAGAAUGCACACGAAGAAGGAUUUAUGAGGUUGGAGUUUUGCAGAUCUGAAGACAUGAUUGCCGACAUUCUGACAAAACCCCUGCCUAGACAUGCUCAUGAUAAGUUGAAGAAGAUGUUGAACCUGAUGGACAUGAGCAGCCCAGGCUGAAGAAGGGGAUUGUUGGGAAAUCAUCCUGGACUACUCAAGUCCAAAUGUAGUUAGAUAGAUGAUAGAGUUAGAUUGAGGGAAUCCUUUCCCUGUUUCCAAAGCAUGCCUAGACAGGCUUUACUGUGUUUCACUCUAUCCUGUUUACGUCACGUCCCUUACUUUGAAGUUGGUAGAAAUGUGAAUCUUUAGGGACA